AUAACUCAAAUUUGUAUGCAGUUGGAACAGCGCCCCUAGCGGCAAACGUUCCAACUCCAUACAAAUUUGAGUUA
rnacentral:pre_miRNA from 1 species